GACGAACGCUGGCGGCGUGCUUAACACAUGCAAGUCGAACGGGAAGGCCCUGCUUUUGUGGGGUGCUCGAGUGGCGAACGGGUGAGUAACACGUGAGUAACCUGCCCUUGACUUUGGGAUAACUUCAGGAAACUGGGGCUAAUACCGGAUAGGAGCUCCUGCUGCAUGGUGGGGGUUGGAAAGUUUCGGCGGUUGGGGAUGGACUCGCGGCUUAUCAGCUUGUUGGUGGGGUAGUGGCUUACCAAGGCUUUGACGGGUAGCCGGCCUGAGAGGGUGACCGGCCACACUGGGACUGAGAUACGGACCAGACUCAUACGGGAGGCAGCAGUGGGGAAUAUUGCACAAUGGGCGGAAGCCUGAUGCAGCAACGCCGCGUGCGGGAUGACGGCCUUCGGGUUGUAAACCGCUUUCGCCUGUGACGAAGCGUGAGUGACUGUAAUGGGUAAAGAAGCACCGGCUAACUACGUG
rnacentral:rRNA from 1 species